rnacentral:rRNA from 1 species
UACGUAGGGCGCAAGCGUUAUCCGGAAUUAUUGGGCGUAAAGAGCUCGUAGGCGGUUUGUCGCGUCUGCCGUGAAAGUCCGGGGCUCAACUCCGGAUCUGCGGUGGGUACGGGCAGACUAGAGUGAUGUAGGGGGAGACUGGAAUUCCUGGUGUAGCGGUGAAAAUGCGCAGAUAUAAGGAGGAACACCCGAUGGCGAAAGGCAGGGUCUCCUGGGCAUUAACUACGUGGAGGACGAAAGC